UAAAUAGCAACGCACACUUCGGUGUAGCGGUCUGCUUCUUAGAGGGACUGUCGAUGUUUAAUCGACGGAAGUUUGAGGCAAUAACAGGUCUGUGAUGCCCUUAGAUGUUCUGGGCCGCACGCGCGCUACACUGAUCAAGGCAGCGAGUGUAUCACCUUGGCCGGAAGGUC
rnacentral:rRNA from 1 species